rnacentral:rRNA from 1 species
AGAAAAAGAAUAAGGAUAGCGCCUGCCCGGUGACGAGAGUUAAACGGCCGCAGUUAAUAGCUGUGCUAAGGUAGCGCAAUCAAUUGUCCCUUAAUUGAGGAAUGGUAUGAAUGGCUGUACGUGAGAUAAGCUGUCUCUAUUAUAAUAGCAUGAAAUUUUCCUUUAAGUGAAAAGACUUAGAUUUUUUUAAAAGACGAGAAGACCCUAUCGAACUUAAUAGUUUUUAAAAAUAAUAAUUUAAAAAGAAGUUUUACUGGGGCAGUAAGAAGAAAAAAAUAAUUCUUCCUUAGAAAAAAGAUCCCUUAUUAAGGACAAAAGAAAAAGUUACCGU